AUGGGAGGGUGCGGCGCUCGCGGGCCGAUCUGCGCCGCCAGGACUCGCCCGACCCGCGGGACGCUCGAUCCGGUGACGCACCAGUCGCCGGUCAUCGGCCCGGCCGACCGACGACGGAGAUCGCAACACCCUGCACUAUUAUUCUGCCUCAGCUCAUCCUUCCUCGAUGUGUGCUGCCUGGGAGGGCGCGCGCUCGCCGCUCGACCAGAGCCACACGGCCAUCCGGUCAUCGUUGCACUCGCCGCCCCCUCUGCUCCUCCACCUCAACUUCGGACACACGUGUAUUUCUGUGCCCACCCCAUGUUACCAGAGGAAACCGCGUGCCAGUCUCUCUGGAUGACUUUUAUUUUCUGCUGA
rnacentral:rRNA from 1 species